GUGCCAGCAGCCGCGGUAAUACGAAGGGGGCUAGCGUUGUUCGGAAUCACUGGGCGUAAAGCGUAUGUAGGCGGAUCAAAAAGUUAGAUGUGAAAUCCCUGGGCUCAACCCAGGAACUGCAUUUAAAACUAGUGAUCUAGAAUUUGGUAGGGGCCAGUAGAAUUUCCAGUGUAGAGGUGAAAUUCGUAGAUAUUGGAAAGAAUACCAGUGGCGAAGGCGACUGGCUGGGCCAUUUUUGACGCUGAGAUACGAAAGCGUGGGUAGCAAACAGGAUUAGAUACCCUGGUAGUCCACGCAGUAAACGAUGAGUGCUAGUCGCUGGGACAAUAGUUUCAGUGUCGAAGCUAACGCAUUAAGCACUCCGCCUGGGAAGUACGGUCGCAAGAUUAAAACUCAAAUAAAUUGACGGGGGCCCGCACAAGCGGUGGAGCAUGUGGUUUAAUUCGAAGCAACGCGAAGAACCUUACCAGACCUUGACAUGGUAUGUUUGAAUUACAGAAUCGUAAUUCUUCAGUUCGGCUGGCAUACACACAGGUGCUGCAUGGCUGUCGUCAGCUCGUGUCGUGAGAUGUUGGGUUAAGUCCCGCAACGAGCGCAACCCUCAUUUUUAGUUGCCAUCAGGUUAAGCUGGGCACUCUAAAAAAACUGCCGGUGAUAAGCUGGAGGAAGGCGGGGAUGACGUCAAGUCCUCAUGGCCCUUACGGUCUGGGCUACACACGUGCUACAAUGGUGGUGACAGUGGGCAGCAAUACUGCAAAGUAAAGCUAAUCCCAAAAAACCAUCUCAGUUCGGAUUGGACUCUGCAACUCGAGUCCAUGAAGUUGGAAUCGCUAGUAAUCGUAGAUCAGCGUGCUACGGUGAAUACGUUCUCGGGCCUUGUACACACCGCCCGUCACGCCAUGGGAGUUGGUUUUACCUUAAGCCGGUGCGCUAACCGCAAGGAAGCAGCCGUCCACGGUAGGGUCAGCGACUGGGGCGAAGUCGUAACAAGGUAACCGUAGGGGAACCUGCGGUUG
rnacentral:rRNA from 1 species